rnacentral:rRNA from 1 species
AUUGAACGCUGGCGGCAGGCUUAACACAUGCAAGUCGAGCGGGGGAAGGUAGCUUGCUACCGGACCUAGCGGCGGACGGGUGAGUAAUGCUUAGGAAUCUGCCUAUUAGUGGGGGACAACAUCUCGAAAGGGAUGCUAAUACCGCAUACGUCCUACGGGAGAAAGCAGGGGAUCUCCGGACCUUGCACUAAUAGAUGAGCCUAAGUCGGAUUAGCUAGUUGGUGGGGUAAAGGCCUACCAAGGCGACGAUCUGUAGCGGGUCUGAGAGGAUGAUCCGCCACACUGGGACUGGGACACGGCCCAGACUCCUACGGGAGGCAGCAGUGGGGAAUAUUGGGCAAUGGGGGGAACCCUGAUCCAGCCAUGCCGCGUGUGUGAAGAAGGCCUUAUGGUUGUAAAGCACUUUAAGCGAGGAGGAGGCUACUUUAGUUAAUACCUAGAGAUAGUGGACGUUACUCGCAGAAUAAGCACCGGCUAACUCUGUGCCAGCCGCCGCAGUAA